AUUAUCGUAACAGUAAUCUAACUUAGUACGAGAGGAACCGUUAGUUGCACCCUUCAUGAAUGGACUUAGUUGAGUAGCUAGUGGUCCGAACGGGCGGUGCUUUGGCGUAGGGUUGAAAGCCUCUAAACCUGGAGCCUAGCUGAAGUCAUACGAUGAUUCCCUUGCAAAAGGGAGGCAGUGAUGAUUUGAGGAAGAAUACGUGGUUCUUUGGAAUCAUGGAGACCUAUGAGUAGAACAAUAAAUCAAAUGGCACUGUCUGGGCGAUCGUUUGCAGACGACUUAUCAUUUCCCAAGGAUUGUACGUGUUCGAGUUGGCUCUGUCCAACGAGGAAUUGAGAUUUAGCUUGGUGAAUGGAUCG
rnacentral:ncRNA from 1 species